rnacentral:rRNA from 1 species
GACGAAUGCUGGCGGCGUGCUUAACACAUGCAAGUCGAACGAUGAACCGGAGCUUGCUCUGGGGAUUAGUGGCGAACGGGUGAGUAACACGUGGGCAACCUGCCCCAGACACCGGGAUAACCAUUCGAAAGGAUGGCUAAUACCGGAUACGACCACUUCGGGCAUCCGAUGGUGGUGGAAAGGAUUCUGGUCUGGGAUGGGCCCGCGGCCUAUCAGCUUGUUGGUGGGGUAAUGGCCUACCAAGGCGACGACGGGUAGCCGGCCUGAGAGGGCGACCGGCCACACUGGGACUGAGACACGGCCCAGACUCCUACGGGAGGCAGCAGUGGGGAAUAUUGCGCAAUGGGCGAAAGCCUGACGCAGCGACGCCGCGUGAGGGACGAAGGUCUUCGGAUUGUAAACCUCUUUCAGCAGGGAUGAAGCGAAAGUGACAGUACCUGCAGAAGAAGCACCGGCUAACUACGUGCCAGCCGCCGCUGUAAAAC